UACCGCUUUUCACUAUUGUUCUGCCCCAGGCUUUUGAGUUCUUUUAGCAGUGUUUUAGCACCUCCUAGUGGUGGGUUUGUUUGAACAGGAAGUAACCUGUCUGUACAGGAAAAAGUUCUCAUGUGAUCUGAAAUCAGCCUUUUCUUCUCAAGCAGACUGAGGAGCUGACACGUAUCUCAUCUGCUGCCAUCCCUUUGUUUAAGCUUGUGAAAGCAUCAUCUUUUCACUCUUGACUCAUGAAUGCAUGUACAACACCAUCUUAUUAAAGACACAAACAAAUGACAGAUGAAGAUCAUCACACUGGAAAGUCCCCUCUGAUAGAUACAUCUGUUGAUAUGGUUGGUACUUUUCCUCAUGACUAUAUGCAUCUUGUGUGUCUUGGGGUAAUGCAGAGACUUUUGGAUCUUUGGUUAAGUUCAGGGCCACUCUGUGUUUCUUUCUCCUCCCGGCAGGGUCAAG